AUAUGGGGUAUCCAUAAUCUCCACACUAACGUUUGACCAUUUGUCUUAUUUGAAAAAAAAUUAUGAUUAGCAUUUUUAUUGCUAUUACAUGAUAAAACAUGAGUAGUACUUUAUGUGUGGCUAAUUCUUUUUAAUUUUUUCAUAAAUUUUUCAAAUAAGACGGACGGUCAAAAUGCUAAACACGGAUAUCUAUGGCUACACUUAUU
rfam:Oryza rufipogon genomic scaffold, chr02